UACGUAGGGGCAAGCGUUGUCCGGAAUUAUUGGGCGUAAAGGGUGCGUAGACGGUCUGUUAAGUCUGUUGUUAAAUUCUCCGGCUCAACCGGGGAGCUGCAAUGGAAACUGGCGGACUAGAGGGUGAGAGAGAGAAGUGGAAUUCCCGGAGUAGCGGUAAAAUGCGUAGAUCUCGGGAGGAACACCGAUGGCGAAGGCAGCUUCUUGGCUCAUCCUGACGUUGAUGCACGAAAGCGUGGGAGCAAACAGG
rnacentral:rRNA from 1 species